rnacentral:rRNA from 1 species
CCGACGGUGAGGGGUGAAAGCUGGGGGAGCAAACCGGAUUAGAUACCCGGGUAGUCCCAGCUGUAAACGAUGCGCGUUAGGUGUAUCAGUGACCACGAGUCACUGAGGUGCCGAAGAGAAAUCGUGAAACGUGCCGCCUGGGAAGUACGGUCGCAAGGCUGAAACUUAAAGGAAUUGGCGGGGGAGCACCACAACAGGUGGAGCCUGCGGUUUAAUCGGACUCAACGCCGGAAAUCUCACCAGAUAAGACAGCUGAAUGAUAGUCGGGCUGAAGACUCUACUUGACUAGCUGAGAGGAGGUGCAUGGCCGUCGUCAGUUCGCACUGUGAAGCAUCCUGUUAAGUCAGGCAACGAGCGAGACCCACGCCAACAGUUGCU